AACGAACGCUGGCGGCAUGCCUAACACAUGCAAGUCGAACGAGACCUUCGGGUCUAGUGGCGCACGGGUGCGUAACGCGUGGGAACCUGCCCUUAGGUUCGGAAUAACUCCUCGACAGGGGUGCUAAUACCGGAUAAUGUCCUCGGACCAAAGAUUUAUCGCCUUUGGAUGGGCCCGCGUUGGUUUAGCUAGUUGGUAGGGUAAAAGCCUACCAAGGCGACGAUCCAUAGCUGGUCUGAGAGGAUGAUCAGCCACACUGGGACUGAGACACGGCCCAGACUACUACGGGAGGCAGCAGUGGGGAAUAUUGGACAAUGGGCGAAAGCCUGAACCAGCAAUGCCGCGUGAGUGAUGAAGGCCUUAGGGUUGUAAAGCUCUUUUACCCGGGAUGAUAAUGACAGUACCGAGAGAAUAAGCUCCGGCUAACUCCGUG
rnacentral:rRNA from 1 species